AUGGAAUAUCAGCCCAUCAUAUCCGCUCUUGACGUGCGUGUUGAUCCUGUCUCCACCGAUGAACUCUUUGGCAUGAUCUCCAACUUUGAUCAACGCGUCGAGCUGUUCCAAGGAACUGGUCCCGGCGCUUUCAAGUCCUCUGCUAAUGCCGCCUAUCAUGGUCGC
rnacentral:rRNA from 1 species